GAUGAACGCUAGCGGCAGGCCUAACACAUGCAAGUCGAGGGGUAGAAGUCUUCGGGCUUUGAGACCGGCGCACGGGUGCGUAACGCGUAUGCAAUCUGCCUUACACUAAGGGAUAGCCCAGAGAAAUUUGGAUUAAUACCUUAUAGUAUAUCGAUGUGGCAUCACAUUAUUAUUAAAGAUUUAUUGGUGUAAGAUGAGCAUGCGUCCCAUUAGCUAGUUGGUAUGGUAACGGCAUACCAAGGCUAUGAUGGGUAGGGGUCCUGAGAGGGAGAUCCCCCACACUGGUACUGAGACACGGACCAGACUCCUACGGGAGGCAGCAGUGAGGAAUAUUGGUCAAUGGGCGCAAGCCUGAACCAGCCAUGCCGCGUGCAGGAUGAAGCAUCUAUGGUGUGUAAACUGCUUUUGUACGGGAAGAAACACCUCUACGUGUAGAGGCUUGACGGUACCGUAAGAAUAAGGAUCGGCUAACUCCGUGCCAGCCGCCGCCGUAAGAC
rnacentral:rRNA from 1 species